UGAUGUCACGGAAGAAGCCGCUGCUUAUUACACGUACUGACAAGAGAAAGACUGAAAAAUGUCAACCUCAUUUGUAUGUAUAUAUGCAUCCGUGGUGACCAGCGUUCAAACAUUCCAGCUAGCGUGGCGGCCGGCGGCCGAAGCCAUGCCAGCCAGCCAGCCGCGCGCCAUGCCCACCGCAGCAGACUAAGGCUCCAGAAUCCUGCCCUUGACUGCACACGAAAGAAAAAUCACGUACUGUACGCGGCAUCGUCAUUUCUGAACUGAACGUCUAGAGGAUAGCUAGCUAGCUAGCUUGUCUCUGCUAGGGAUGGUCGGCUGGACAAUUCUGUAGGGGGGCUUAGCUAAGUUAACCACAGCCGCGUAAGUAAAGCACAAUCAGACAAGGAGAAGAACAUGACCCGUGGAAGAUUGAACCCAAGAUAAUUCUAAGGUUAUUAAGCAAGCACGAAAUAAAGGAUCCCAAAGGGGGAAAAAAAAAAAGAGAAACAAGGCAGAGCUGAGGCUUUGCAGUGCAGCACUUGCAAUUGCAUCGCAAGCAAAAGGGACCC
rnacentral:lncRNA from 1 species